ensembl:misc_RNA
CCCUCAUAAGGACUAUGAUAGUCAAUCUCUUGUGGAGCUUCAUCCAAAGGUUUUCUGAGUCUGAUGGAUUUACAAAGACAUUUGGUUGCAUGGGUAA